AUGGGGUUCCAGGGCGCGGAGCUGGAGGUGGUGGCGCUGGCCGGCAGGCGGCUGGUGGCGUUCGACGUGCGGACGCGGCGGCGGCGCGAGGUCAGGGUGCCGGUGGCUCAAGAGGAAGAAGAGGAAGAGGAAAAGGAGGAGAAACGGUGGGACGGGGCGGAGUACGCCGCGCACACCAACACGCUGGCGCUCGUCGCGCCCGCCGUGCUCGCGUGCGAACCGAUGCUCGUGGAGGAGUGA
rnacentral:rRNA from 1 species